AAGCUCAUUUUCUUGUGCAUAACGAAUACGCGCCUCGCCUUUUACUAGACGCGUCCGUGUAUGGGGAAUAUAAUGAGCAUUCAAUCAAUUUUUUGCAUCACUUUUUGUAUUGUUAG
rfam:Smittium culicis strain GSMNP scaffold-2066, whole genome shotgun sequence.